rfam:Ciona savignyi cont_259, whole genome shotgun sequence.
GGGGAUAUAGCUCAAUGGUAGAGCAUUCGACUGCAGUUCGAGAGGUCUCUGAUUCAAAUCCGGGUGUCCCCU